CAUUAUCCAGGCCAGUGGAAUAAAACACUUCCCUACUAGAUACUAACACAAGCAGACCCUUUUUUUCAACAUCCUUAAAAAAAGGUACUUUAAAGGCGAAAAUGGUGCCAAGCGGAAUUCCGGAAUCAUUUUGAUCAGUGACUAAAUGACCAUAGACUAAUCCUGAGCCUGCAUCGGUGUACUUCAAAAAGAUAGAAACGCGAUCG